CUGAAUGUGGUUUACACUGAGAACAGUAAGGCAUGACUUUUUGUAGUUGUGCACAUAAUGCAAUCCCAUUGUCAUACAGGCUGCUUCUGGAGUUUUACUGAGGAACAUACUAUAGAUGUGUUUCAAUCACAGUGAAGGAGAGCUCUAGCUCAGUUAUGUUUUUAGAGACUAGAUCUGAGAUGACAAGAGGCUGGAGCAAGAGGAAGUGAAGCAGGAGCCUGGAGCUGAGGAGGAUUACUGCUUGGGUGGCAGAGAACAGUCCCAGGAGGAGACGGUGCUGGGAGCUCUGCUAACUGUCCACAGUUAACAGGAUUAGCUCCUCUGAAGAGUCACUUCCUCAACUCACCUGAGUGUAAGGAUGUGCCUUUGUCAUAGCUUUUCUGUUCUAUAUCCUUUCUGAUAGAAUCCAGACUCUUAUUUGUAGGAAGGGGAAUUUAUUCUGUUAAUCAUGGAAACUGUUAGUCACAGUUAAUUCCUACUUCUGUUGGCAUAAACCCUGGUGGCAGUCCCACUGGGCAGAAUAUUUGCCAACUGGGAAGUUGAAAUAUAAAAAAAACAGCUGCUGUUUUUCCUGUUAAAUAUGUGGACAUACUGCAGAACACAAACCGCAGUCUUGUUUUCCUUUCCCAGCAGAAAGCCUAAGAGUGUGUGAAAGCAUCAGUACUGCCUGACAUGACACAGAACAUACCUCCAUGAAAAUAUUGGAGGCUUAUUUAGGAUUCAAAGAUGCAUCUCAUAGCAUGUUUGGGUGGUCCAUGUAUGCAAUUUUAUUUUCUAGAUAAUGUUUAUGACCUCCUACACAAGAGCGAUCAGCAAUCAAAGAGGAAGAACUUUAUCCUGUGAUUCAAUGAAGUGUAGUGUUUUUACUUAAAUGUUGCUUAUUGGGUUUUGAAGGAGUGAAAAAAUGCAGAAAACUUGAGGAACAUAAGAUAUGUGACAUUACAGAGAGAAUAUUAGUCAGAAUACACGUUCCAUCCCUUCCAAGAGGGCUACUGAUUAGGAACUCCAAGAUUUACAGAGGUCUUGUGGUACUGAAAGUACUUAAGAGGACCCUUUCAAAACUAUACAUUGGCUUGUCAAUCAAUAGAUUGAUGGAGUGGAAGAAGUGGAGUCACAAAGAAAGCCAAAGAACCGGUGAAAGAAAAGGAAGGAGUAAAAAGGGGGGAGAAAGAAAGAAAUUGAAGAGAACAUGAAAUGCACUGCAUGUGAAAACCAGAAAAGAAGGAAGAAAAUUGGGGCACCAAAAAAAUGAGAACUCGAGCUGAGCAAAUACAUGGCAAGGUAUGGAAAGACUUUAAAUACAAUC
rnacentral:lncRNA from 1 species